AGCGAACGCUGGCGGCAGGCUUAACACAUGCAAGUCGAACGGGCACUUCGGUGCUAGUGGCAGACGGGUGAGUAACGCGUGGGAACGUGCCUUUCGGUUCGGAAUAAUCCAGGGAAACUUGGACUAAUACCGGAUACGCCCUUCGGGGGAAAGAUUUAUCGCCGAAAGAUCGGCCCGCGUCUGAUUAUCUAGUUGGUGAGGUAAAUGCUCACAAAGGCGACGAUCAGUCGCUGGUCUGGGCGGAUGAUCAGCCACACUGGGACUGAGACACGGCCCACAAUCCUGCGGGAGGAUGCAGUGGGGAAUAUUGGAGAAUGGGCGAAAGCCUGAUCCAGCCAUGCCGCGUGAGUGAUGAAGGCAUUAGGGUUGUAAAGCUCUUUUGUCCGGGAAGAUAAUGACUGUACCGGAAGAAUAAGCCCCGGCUAACUUCGUGCCAGCCGCCGCCGUAAUAC
rnacentral:rRNA from 1 species